rnacentral:lncRNA from 1 species
AGAAAUAAAGAUUCAAAGGGGUAAGCUAAAAGAAUCGAACCAGAGAUAUGAGGGAGCAGUAUGCGAACUUUACCAAAAAAUUUUUUUUGUCAACUUUUUAAUUUUAUAAAUCUCAAAGGGCUAAAAAGAGUACAAUUUUUAGGGUUUCCACGUUAUACAUACGUGGCAACUUAAUACUAAAGAUACAAACACGUGGUUAAAAGAGAACAUGCAAUUCUGAACUGAGCUCCUCCACCGGCAAUUCUCGAGUGCCGCCGUAAAUUGAAGCUUUGUCUUCUCUGCCGCAAGCUUGCAUCGUCAUUGAUUUGUACUCCCCGAACUCCUCCUUUCACCCAAACCUUUGCUCGUAUUCAGGAUCUCCGUCUACAUCAGAUGUUAACUCUGAAAAUGCUCAAAUAACCGGAUAAGAGAACUUUUGUCAGACCAUCUUCAGGCUAUAGAGAAGAUGCCGACUCUGCUAGAUCUCCUUCCAAGUCAGCUGAGGCCAUAUCCAUCAUCACUGCUUCCUUUCUGCUGAGAUACUUUACUCAUAAGCCAUCUAACAGCUCCAUAGAAGAAGAGUAAAGAUUGACUCUCUUAAGAAAAGAUUAAGUGCAUGUCUGAGAAGAAAGAGAAAGCCAAAACACCGAACAAAUGGAAUCUAAACAUUUCUUUGUGAAAGAGGAGAACGUGAACUUUAUUUAUCUCAAUACAAAUAAGGAGAAGCUAAAGCGUGAAGAACAAGCCCAAAUAUGUAUUGAGAUUACACUUCAAAAUCGCCAAACGAAGUUUAAAAAUCCGCCAAGCGGAAGCUAAAAUCGCCUAAGCGAAGAUAUAGAGAAGUAUUUUACAACAAAACAUAAGGCAAAUCUCUUUCUCCCUGUGAAAGAUAAGAAUAUGUGAACAGGGAAAGAAAGAGAGAAUUCUUUCUCUCUAAGGAGAAGAGAGAGAACCCUCCUGAACUUUAC